rnacentral:lncRNA from 1 species
ACAAAACAGACUCACACAUAUAUAAAAUUAAUAGAUUAGAUAGCAUUUAAACAAAUAUUUCAGGUAGGUACUUCAAAUGCAUUUGACAUUUAUCAAAGAAAUGGUAAGUGCUGUCAUCCGUGGGUGGCUGGAUUAACAUGUGGGACUACUUAUCACCAAUUUUGUUAGGGAUCUUAGGGAAAUUCCUGGAUCUUAUAUUCACAAGCAAUUGUAUAAAUACUUCCCACAGCUCAGAGACCUAAUAGGAUGGGGUCUUAGAGAAACAUCUUUUGAGCCACAGACUUCUUUGUUACCAGAAGGAAAAUGAAAGAAGAAAUUUAAAUACCACUUGAAGAGAGGUGCUGCCCAGUUCAUGAGUGCUGCUGCUGUCCUGCCCAAGUACCCAGCUUGCAGAGUGCCAGAGUUAGAGUCCCAGGGGUGUUCUCCACAGCUGCAUGCUUGAUCCAGGCCUAUCAGGUGUUAUUUGUUGACGGAACCAGGCAUCAUCAGCAAACAAAACUGACAAAGCUUCCUGCCCUCUGUGGAAGGCAUCUGAGGAAGAGACUGGAUUUUGUAGCAACAUGUUAUUCUCAUUAUAAACUUUAUCAUUGGAAUACUAAAGCCAAAUCAUCCCCCAUCUCCUUGAUCAGGAUACCCACUUAAUCUAGGCAGCUACACAAUUGUGAGAGCCUUUGUUUUUUUCUGCUGAAACAUCCUUAAAAAGAUACCUCACAACCCAAGAUUUGGCUUUUCUUAAAUACGAUUUUUAAUUUUUUUCAUUUCUAUCUAGAGAUUUAAUUGGAAAUGGAAAAUCAUCAAUUUUCCAAUUAAAUGUCUGUUCCAAUCAACAUUAUACCUUUUAGGUUGUCAUUGUCAUUUUUAAGUUUAAGCAACUUUAAGGAUUUUGAAUCUGGCUGCCUGUAAAUUAAAGGUGAAAGUAAUCAUUGUGUUGGAUUGGAACAUUUUGUCAAUUGAGAGUGGUUUCCUUGUUCUUAGUGUAUGAAAAGUUUAUUUUUCUAAUGUAGAUUAAUAAAGGAGAUAAAGAAAAACAAAAUGAGUGAUUUAUGUGUGUGAGAAAAGAACCAUUUCCUCAAGGAUUAAAUAAAAUUCAUACCUUUUGUUUCUUUUGAAAAGUUUUUAAAAUAAAUUUUAAUGAAUGUGUCCUUUAAAUAUUCCUUUAAAAAUGUAUCCUAUUUUAAAAUGGACUCUCUGAGAGAAGGAAUUGAUACCUGUGUUUAAAAUCAAAAAUAGCAUGCAUAGAGACUGUUUUUCUAGUUGGUUGAAGCUUUUUUCCCUCUCCUUUACAUCAGUGAACCAGCAUCUUGCCCUUCAGACCCUACAGCACACUCUUGGGCUCAUGAAGUGUAUGACACAUCCUCCUUGGGGGAUCGGCCAUGUCCUCGCUCUCAUGACCACAUGAAUUCUUCUGUAUGUCUUUUCUCACAGCUGAGUACUCUCUUCCUGACCCCCUUGUGGAAUGGGGAAAGGAGGCUGUGACAUUGUGCUUGUGCAAACAAUAAUUGAGAGCUUUCCGAGUCUCCUGCAUCUUCAUAAAUGAUUUUUUGUUUUAUGCUGGGACAGUAGUUCUUUAAAUAGAAUAUUCUCCCAUGGAAAUCGCCCACAAUGCUGAGAGUACACCUUGCAAAAGGUAAGUCUAGAAUAUAGGGUGCCUCCUCAGCAUUGCCCAGAAGCUGAAGUUAGGACUCUCUAGAAUACCAAAAACAAAUUUAUAGCAGUUCAUUAAUGUAAGGAAUUAUGAAAACUGUGUGCCACCAUUAUCCAUAGAUGAAACAAGAGCCACCACGCAAGCACAGACACAAAGCCCUGAAGAUGAAGCCAUUGACAGGGCUCUCAUUUAUUCUGUAGAAACCCACUUGCCUGUUUUUGAACCAGUUUUCUUUGGAGCAUAUGUCUCACUGUGCAACCAAAGUGGUGUUUAUAUCCUAGUCACUUGGCAAAAAUUCUGUCAUUGCUUCAGGGAGAUCCAUUUUAGGCCUGAAGCAUGGAGCUGGUAAUAGAUGGGAUUUGGUACUUCUGAAGAAAAGACCCUACUGCAAAUUUAGAGAGUUAAUUUUUUCUUUUGUUCCCCAUAAUAUUGUUGCUAGAUAGAACUACCUUUUUUGACUAGAAGUUAAAUAUAGAGGCCUAAAUCAAUUAGGUAACUCCCACUCAUUCUAAAUGAGAACAUGUUUGUUUUUCUCCAACGAGAUGAGAAAUAUUUGAGGCGCUUCCUGAUAUCUCUAUCACCCACUGCAUUUUUUCACUUGAUGUAUAUUUCCCCAUGUAUUUGGGAUAAUUUUCAAAUAAUUGCCCUUUAGAAAUCUACUUGAUAUUAAAUGUAAAAAAAAAGCAAGAUGCAAAAUUAUUAUAGGAUGCAUUUACAGAAAUUACAAAAUUUCUAUAAACUAUUUAUGGAGGAAGACUUAUAGAGUAUAUGUCAACACAUUGCUUUAUUAUUGUCCUUGGUUAUGAGUAUGGUUUUUUUGAAACCUGCUUUGUACUUUGGGUGUUUUCUCACCAUUGGUACAAUUGAGGCAUUUUUCCCUCUUCUUCAACCUUGCAAAUCACACGUGAGGAUGCUCAUAGAAGUGCCUCUCAGACAGGCUGUUGUUUUGCUUUCACCAAUAAAUCAUUUAUAAUUAGAAGUAGAAAACUAUUCUUUCCAGUGCAAAUACAUCCCUUUCAAAAGCAGUUCUCUUUUUGUGAAUGAUGUCUAGUGUCUAAGAAACGAGGGUAACCUUUAUUAUAUGCAUUGCUCUAAUCGAAGCAUUGUUUUUUGCGGUGAACUCAAGGUUACAUGUUUAAGAAAAGCAUCGGGUUAAUUCCAUUAGGAAAAGUGUCUUAUUCAUAAACCUUUAGCCACUGGAAAAACACCAUUAGGAGGCCACACAAGUGUGUAUAGCUGGAUAGAAUUUGACAACUGGCAAAACAAAACAAUAGCCUACAAUUGCAGAGUGCUGUCUGUUUAAAAACCAACAUAUCUUUCACCAACAAAUACAUAUUCACCUCAACACGAGACUUUCAUGUGGUUAUUAAUAUCAAAUUUUUGAAUGUCCAAAUUUUGGAGUGUAGUCUAGCAGAGGUAAACUGAUUUGCCUAAGGUCCUUCAACUGUCAGAGGUAGAAUUAUUUUCUCUCUCCUGGCUCUAAAACCUGUCCAGAUUCUCCUGCAACACUGUCCUUCAAAAACACACUUCCGCUGACUCCAGUGCUGGUGAUGUCAUGCUUUAGCUAGUAGUUAGAGGUGACUUAACUUUAAAUAUGGAAUCUUUUUUUCCUAUUAAGCAAUGAGGUUUAGUUUGAAAAUUCUUAGAGAUGAUAAACCCCUCUCCUUUUUUUCUUCCUUCUCCUCUUUUGUCCUGAACAAUGUUCCAUAUAUAUUACUGCCAGAAACAGAUUCUUGACAUUCCUGUUAUGCUUUUCCACAUCUUGUAAUCAUUUCUACAGCUGUUAGCAUUGCCAACAAUUAUAUUUCCACUUUUAAAAAAUUGUUACAAAGAUGCAGAGAGAAAAGAGGAAAGCCAAGGAAUAAACUACAGGCAAUUAUGGGAUAUUUUUGUGAUGUGACAUUUUGGGAACUGAGGCAGCAUCACUGAUACUGCACUACUUUUUAAUAUCUAGAUUUUAAUCUUUUGUAUGAAGAUAAAAUUCACAUGCCUUAAACCUGACCACAACAUAAUAGGGCAUUUAUUUUUCUAAUUUUGAUACCAUCCACAUUUCUUAACUAUAAGAAGAAUGCUUAUGUUGUACCAGGUUAUAUGAUGUUGCCAAGAAGUAGAUGUGUACCAUUUACUAAUACAUCCUUUUGGAAAAUGCGUAUUAAUAACAUAUUAAGGAGUAAAUUGACGUUGUGCAAAGUGAGCCUGUGAGUUUAAAUGUAUGGAUUGUACACCUUGCUCUUCCUAAUUGCAGAUUUAACAGGAUUUGAUGACCUAAUGAGUUUAUUUCUGAAUGAUUUAUAUUUCUUUGUCAGUUCAAUGAUUUAGUAUUUUAAAUUUUUUUAAAUCACAUUUUAUUGAGAUAAUGCUAUUAGUGUUUCUUUCCCAUCACUUAACAAAGUUAAGUCACUCCUCUCCCACCCCACUUUUGUACCUACCAAUGUUUUUUUCACAGUUACAGGCUGAUUGGCUUGACGUGUCUUAGGAUACCACCCAAAGAGAGCUUCAUUUUAUAAAUACCAAGCUCAUUUUCCUAAAUAUUUUCAAAAAGAUAGAUUUAUCCUCAUAUAGUAAAUUCAGAUUAAUAAUUUUGGAAAGGGUCAUGUGACCAUGGUAUUACAUGGCUGUGGAAGACCCUCCAAGAUCUUGUUUUGGGAUAGAAGGACUCAGACAUCCAAACUUUUAAAUUAAUGAACUUAUUAAAUUCUAAAACUUUGUAACAGUGUUAAUUUGAGAAGUAUAAUAUUUUGCUUAAGGUCUGUUUUGCUUUGCAAAAUGCAUCUCCUUCAUUUUCAUAUUAUGUUGGAAGCUUAGCAUGAAAGAACGUGCCUCAGAGGAAACCAUAGGUAAGCAUACUUUAACAAAAGUUAGUGUCAUCAUGUUUGUGUCUUUGCCUGUGGUUUUUUAAAUGUAUAAUGUUUAACGUUGAUUUGGCUAUCAAAUUACAUUUUCUUUUGUUAAAAAAUUCUGUAAAUUAGAAAUGUACUGAAUCAUUUAUUUAGCAGACUGAAGGUGGGUAAUGUUGGCUGAACAGGUUUAAGCCACAGUAAUUUGAAAAUGUAAAUACAUAAAAUAAUGUCAUUUCUCUUCCACUCAAUGUUUCUUCACCAAAUAAAGUCCAGCCUGCUCUGAAUUUGUUGCCAGUAGGAACAAUGUUACAGUGAAUCAUGGUUUAAUAUACCUUGAAAAUGGCACAUCUGUUCUGUGAUAGCUUACCAAUUUUAGCCUCUUUAUAAAAUACGAAGAGUUUGUCAACCAGAAUAAUCUAGAACCUGGCAAUUCAAAUACCAUUCAAAGCAAAUGUUUUAUCUAAUAACUGGAACUAAAUGUUAGGCCUCAUGACAGUUCAAUAUUUACUAAAUAAGUUUAAUAACAGGGUAAGCCCUCAGUAUCCAGAGCAGAGACAAGCACACCAUAUUUACACAUACAAAUUCUGCCUUUAGCCAUCUGAAAGGGCCCCGAACUAUUGCAGCAAGCAAAGAGUCUUUGCAUUGUCCUAAAAUCCAUACAAUACUUUAUAUUUUACACAUUUUAAUAGCUAGUUUAACAAAUAACAAGUACCAUGCUUAAUUCUCUGCAUGCAUUAUUUCAACUAAUUAUUGGAAUAAUCUUAUAAAGUGGGUACUUUCGUCUCAGCUUACAGGUGAGAAAACAAAAGUUAAAUAGAUCGCCCAGGGCUCUGCUGGAACGUGUUAAGCAGGGAUUUCAGCCUGUCCAGUCAGACCCCAGAAGUUGUGUUCUUAACCAUUAGCAACACAUCAUCCCAGGCAGGCCCUACAUGAGCCUCAUAACCAAUUUUAUGCUGGAUAGUAUUAUCCCUAUUUCACAGAUGGCAAAACUGAGGUCCAGAGACUUUAAGUGACCUACCCAAAAUUACAGUCAUGAGCAGAGGCACUGGAAUGUAGGGCCUUGACACUCUACCUCACGUGGUCCUCUUUCCUGUUUUGGGUAGUUCUCCACUACCACUACUCAUUUCUGAUGCUGGAAAGGCUGUGUUUUAUACAUUUCUGUUUCUGGCUUGGAACGAAACACUCUGGGUCUCUGCUUGAUCAGUGUCCCCUCUAAACUGCACCUCACUACAGUAGGGAUGGCAUAAGAUACUUCUUUACACAGCAUCUUUUUGUUCCCACCUCACCCCCAGAGCUGUAAUAGGUAGAGCCAGCCAAAUGUCAAAGGGAUGAUUUGUCUUGUCACCACUAGUUUCCCUUUUCUCUGCCUUGUAUGUAACAGGAAUAUUCUUUAGUUCCUCCUUAUGUUCUAAAGCACCUCCCCAACCUAAAAAUAGAAGAGGAGUUGUGGGUCAUUUACACUUUAGUGUGAAUUUGCCCUUGUGACUUUGCCAAGGCUGUUGUGCCUAACCCUUUCAAUCUAACAGCAGAAUGAGAGUCUCUGGACUAUCCUGGCUCCUUCCCUGAGAAGAAUGAACUGGGAAUUGUUGGUCUAGACAUCAAGACUACCAGAGACCUAUUGCUCAGAGAUGUUUGGGCUGUACAAUUUCUGUAGAUAUGGCAUCUGGAGCAGCCUUUUCUAAGCAAUGGCAUUAUCAUUCCAGGCUCUCUCGCUCUUUCCAUCUCUCCACCAGGUGGACUCUUGCCCUCCACCCCUUCCAAUUUGUCAGUGAUUCAGAGAACAUUCUCCAUCCUUCCAAUGAUUACAUUCCUUCAUCUUGCUGGGGCGCCAAUUCAGUGAUGGAGCGGCUCUUGGGAGCAGCCUUGGCUUAUAGUGCAGCUCUCUGCUACCUUCAACAGGCUGGUAUUCGGGGUGCUUAGAUGUGACUGGUUGUACGCACGUGUGUGUAUGUGCAUGUGUGUACAGCAGUAAGAGCUUUCGAGGUAGAUACUUGAGGAAGCCUCAGACAUCUAGCCCCAUUACUGGGGCAAUGUCUUACUUGGGUUUUUCCAGAAACAGACCUGGAGACCAGGAUUCAAGUGCCAGUGGUAUAUUUGGGAUGUGAACCCUGCAAUGCUGGUAGGAGAGUGGAGAAGUGAGGCAAGGAAAGGAAGGCCGUCAAGGGGCGUGUUAGGAGGUCAUUCACCACCGCAGGUAGCCCGCUGGGGACCUCUGGGAGCAAGUGUGGCGCACAAGCCUCAGCAUUACUGCCCUGUGCCUUGAGGAGUAAGGGAUAAGGAUUUUCCCCACCAGUUCCCUGUAGUCCUUGGUGAGAGCUUCUGGGGUGGAGGUUAAGGUCUUUAGGUCAGAGAAAUUUUCUUUAGUUUCGGAAAAAUCUUUCAGGCCGAGGUCCAGACACUCACUGGAACACACUGAAGUGGUUAGGUCCAAGGGCUGUAGGCAGAGCUCCCAUAUCCAUCUGCAGAGGUGUUUCAGGUGGAAGGAGUGGAGACAGCCUUCUCUGCUCCACACUGUCUUCAGCAAGGGUUUCUGUAUCUGUGCAUUGAGGAUUAAAUUAUUCACAUGGUCAGAGAAGCCCAUCACCACUGAUAGUUAUUGUAGGUAUGGAAAACUAACGACUAAGAAGGGAGAAAAAUAUACCAAGCAGUUGGCUUGGCUGAACACAAGUAAAGACUCUUACAGUCACUGGUGUGAACUGCUUAUUAUCAAUGUCUGAUUACAGUGCUGCAUACUAAUGAUUAUGCAUGUCAUUAAAUGUGUCAGAUUAACUUUGUUAUAAAAUUUAUGACAACAUUAAAUUUUAUUCACAUGCUCAGCCUUCAUAAUUUAUUGCUUAUGUAGCAUGGUUUUAACUUCAGAAAAACCUCCAAGACAGUGUUGUCUUGAUGACUACACUGCUUAUCCGUGAGUCUAGUUUUCCUGUUCAUUUGAAAUGUUCACAUUACAUUCAGCUCUGUCUCAAGCACUGAGACAGAGCUGGAAUCAGUGCCCAGCGAUUCCACUUGCCGAGUGAUUGA